rnacentral:rRNA from 1 species
GAUGAACGCUAGCUACAGGCUUAACACAUGCAAGUCGAGGGGAAACGGCAUCGAAAGCUUGCUUUUGAUGGGCGUCGACCGGCGCACGGGGGAGUAACGCGUAUCCAACCUGCCCAUCACUUGGGAAUAGCCUUGCGAAAGUAAGACUAAUGCCCAAUGACAUCCCACGAAGGCAUCCGAAUGGGAUUAAAGAUUUAUCGGUGAUGGAUGGGGAUGCGUCUGAUUAGCUUGUUGGCGGGGUGACGGCCCACCAAGGCAACGAUCAGUAGGGGUUCUGAGAGGAAGGUACCCCAAAUUGGAACUGAGACACGGUCCAAACUCCUACGGGAAGCAGCAGUGAGGAAUAUUGGUCAAUGGGCGGGAGCCUGAACCAGCCAAGUAGUGUGCAGGAUGACGGUCCUAUGGGUUGUAAUCUGCUUUUAUAAGGGAAUAAAGUGGGUCACGUGUGACUUUUUACAUGUACCUUAUGAAUAAGGACCGGCUAAUUCCGUG